rnacentral:lncRNA from 1 species
UUAAUUAAUUUUAGUGCGUAGCUUAAGAAAUUAGCUACCUCGUGCUUAACUCCAGUAAUGCCCAUCUCUUGGCAUAACCUUAUAUAUGUUAACGUGAUACUCCAUUUUAAAUUUCGUGGCAAUCGGAGUUGUAGAACUCCGUUUAUAGCGAUUUCCGUCGGAAAAUCACAAAAAUUGUAAUGGUCAUAACUUGGUCGUUUUAACUCGGAAUUAGCUCAUUUUUGGACACGAGCUACAUAUUAUCAUAUAUUUUCAUUUCCCAAAAGCCUGGAAUUUUUCUCAUUAAAUAAAUGUCCGAAACAGCCCCCAGAAAAUUUUGGCCAGAAACUUUUUGCACUUUGGCAGUUUUGGAGUCCUUCACCAAAACUUAAAUAAAACGAAAUCUGUAACUCCGAUUAAUGAUCCGUCAAUUUUGUUGGAUUCGUAUCUUUCCGAACUAUAGUUUUCAUAUAUCACAAUCCAUAUUUGGACAUGUUUAGCUCCCGGAAUUUAACCCGGAAGUGACUGCUCCAAAACUGUCCUUCUAACAGUUUUUCUUAACUUUGUGUAGUUUGGUAGAAAUCCCAUAACUUGCUCCUCCGAUACCGGAUUUAGUCCGUUCCGGAGUCUAUGGAAAGCUUAUUGAGUGAACUAUAACAUAUCUCAAGUCCAGAAUUUUUAGAGCACCCUAACAAAUCAGAAAUUUUCUGUUUAGGGAAGCAGUCCACUAAUUCAUUUAAAACAAAAAAAACUGUUUUGGUUCAUCUUCUUUGUUCAAGCUUAUUAACCCUAAAAAUGGCAAGAUCUAACCAUAAAAUAUCAUAUAUCAUGUAGAUCUUCCCUCAUAUGGAUCAUAAGUUCAACACUUGGUGUAAAACAACCAUCACAAAACACAUAAACUAACUAG